rnacentral:rRNA from 1 species
AUUGAACGCUGGCGGCAUGCCUUACACAUGCAAGUCGAACGGUAACAGGUCUUCGGAUGCUGACGAGUGGCGAACGGGUGAGUAAUACAUCGGAACGUGCCCGAUCGUGGGGGAUAACGAAGCGAAAGCUUUGCUAAUACCGCAUAAGAUCUACGGAUGAAAGCAGGGGACCGCAAGGCCUUGCGCGAACGGAGCGGCCGAUGGCAGAUUAGGUAGUUGGUGGGAUAAAAGCUUACCAAGCCGACGAUCUGUAGCUGGUCUGAGAGGACGACCAGCCACACUGGGACUGAGACACGGCCCAGACUCCUACGGGAGGCAGCAGUGGGGAAUUUUGGACAAUGGGCGAAAGCCUGAUCCAGCCAUGCCGCGUGCAGGAUGAAGGCCUUCGGGUUGUAAACUGCUUUUGUACGGAACGAAAAGACUCUGGUUAAUACCUGGGGUCCAUGACGGUACCGUAAGAAUAAGCACCGGCUAACUACGUGCCAGCAGCCGCGGUAAUACGUAGGGUGCAAGCGUUAAUCGGAAUUACUGGGCGUAAAGCGUGCGCAGGCGGUUAUAUAAGACAGAUGUGAAAUCCCCGGGCUCAACCUGGGAACUGCAUUUGUGACUGUAUAGCUAGAGUACGGCAGAGGGGGAUGGAAUUCCGCGUGUAGCAGUGAAAUGCGUAGAUAUGCGGAGGAACACCGAUGGCGAAGGCA